rnacentral:rRNA from 1 species
AUUGAACGCUGGCGGCAGGCCUAACACAUGCAAGUCGAGCGAGCGGCGGACGGGUGAGUAAUGUCUGGGAAACUGCCUGAUGGAGGGGGAUAACUACUGGAAACGGUAGCUAAUACCGCAUACCAGCAGAUGUGCCCAGAUGGGAUUCGCUGGUAGGUGGGGUAACGGCUCACCGAGGCGAAGAUCACUAGCCGGGCUGGGAGGAUGACCAGCCACACUGGGACUUGUACACGGUCCAGAAUCAUACGGGAGGCAGCAAUGGGGAAUAUGGCAAAAUGGGCGCAAGCCUGAUGCAGCCAUGCCGCGUGUGUGAAGAAGGCCUUCGGGUUGUAAAGCACUUUCAGCGGGGAGGCGUUACCCGCAGAAGAAGCACCGGCUAACUCCGUGCCAGCAGCCGCGGUAAUAC